rnacentral:rRNA from 1 species
GUCUUAUUGAAAAUAAUUUUAAGUCAAUCUGCCCAAUGAAAAAAUUAAAUGGCUGCAGUAUAACUGACUGUACAAAGGUAGCAUAAUAAAUUGGUUUUUAAAUGAAAUCUGGAAUGAAAGGAUUAAUGAAAUAUAUACUGUCUCAUAUUUAUUUUAUGAAUUUAAAAUUUUAAUAAAAAUGUUAAAAUUUUUUUAUGGGACGAUAAGACCCUAUAGAAUUUUAUAUUAAUUUAAUUUUGUAUUAUAAAAUAUAAAAUUUAAUUUAAUAUUUAAUUGGGAGAAUUAUUAAAUUUAAUAAAUUUUAAUUUAAUAUAAACUUUGAUUUAAGAAAAUAUUUUGAUCUAUAAUUUAUAAUUAUUAGAUUAAAUUACCUUAGGGAUAACAGCGUAAUAUUUUUUUAUAGAUCACAUAGAAAAAAAUGAUUGCGACCUCGAUGUUGAAUUAAGAUAAAUUUUAAAUGUAGAAGUUUAAUAAUUAAGUCUGUUCGACUUUUAAAAUCUUACAUGAUUUGAGUUCAAAUCGACGUAAGU